AGGACGAACGCUGGCGGCGUGCUUAACACAUGCAAGUCGAGCGGAAAGGCCCUUCGGGGUACUCGAGCGGCGAACGGGUGAGUAACACGUGAGCAACCUGCCCCUGGCUCUGGGAUAGCUCCGGGAAACCGGGAUUAAUACCGGACAUGACCUUCUCCUGCAUGGGAGUUGGUGGAAAGUUUUUCGGCCAGGGAUGGGCUCGCGGCCUAUCAGCUUGUUGGCAGGGUAAUGGCCUACCAAGGCGACGACGGGUAGCCGGCCUGAAAGGGCGACCGGCCACACUGGGACUGAGACACGGCCCAGACUCCUACGGGAGGCAGCAGUGGGGAAUAUUGCGCAAUGGGCGAAAGCCUGACGCAGCGACGCCGCGUGCGGGAUGAAGGCCUUCGGGUUGUAAACCGCUUUCAGCAGGGACGAAACCAGACGGUACCUGCAGAAGAAGCGCCGGCUAACUACGCGCCAGCAGCCGC
rnacentral:rRNA from 1 species